rnacentral:rRNA from 1 species
UACGAAGGGGGCUAGCGUUGCUCGGAAUCACUGGGCGUAAAGCGCACGUAGGCGGCUUUCUAAGUCAGGGGUGAAAUCCUGGAGCUCAACUCCAGAACUGCCUUUGAUACUGGAGAGCUUGAGUCCGGGAGAGGUGAGUGGAACUCCGAGUGUCGAGGUGAAAUUCGUAGAUAUUCGGAAGAACACCAGCGGCGAAGGCGGCUCACUGGCCCGGUUCUGACGCUGAGGCGCGGAAAGCGUGGGGAGCAAACAGG